rnacentral:rRNA from 1 species
AGGAACAUGUGGUUUAAUUCGAUGAUACGCGAGGAACCUUACCUGGGCUAGAACGCAUUCGGAAUCAGGCCGAAAGGCCUGCGCCAGCGAUGGCCGCUUGCGAGGUGCUGCAUGGUUGUCGUCAGCUCGUGCCGUGAGGUGUCGGGUUAAGUCCCAUAACGAGCGCAACCCCUACUGCUAGUUGCCAGCGGGUCAUGCCGGGGACUCUAGCGGAACUGCCAGCGUAAGCUGCGAGGAAGGUGGGGAUGACGUCAAAUCAGCACGGCCCUUACGUCCAGGGCUACACACGUGUUACAAUGGCCGGUACAGAGGGCAGCCACCCCGCGAGGGGGCGCGAAUCCCGAAAGCCGGUCCCAGUUCGGAUCGGAGUCUGCAACCCGACUCCGUGAAGCUGGAUUCGCUAGUAAUCGCGCAUCAGCCACGGCGCGGUGAAUACGUUCCCGGGCCUU